CCUACGGGGUGCUGCAGUGGGGAAUAUUGGACAAUGGGCGAAAGCCUGAUCCAGCCAUGCCGCGUGUGUGAAGAAGGCCUUCGGGUUGUAAAGCACUUUCAGUGGGGAAGAAAGCCUUGGGGCUAAUACCCUCGAGGAAGGACAUCACCCACAGAAGAAGCACCGGCUAACUCCGUGCCAGCAGCCGCGGUAAUACGGAGGGUGCGAGCGUUAAUCGGAAUUACUGGGCGUAAAGCGCGCGUAGGCGGUCUGAUAAGCCGGUUGUGAAAGCCCCGGGCUCAACCUGGGAACGGCAUCCGGAACUGUCAGGCUAGAGUGCAGGAGAGGAAGGUAGAAUUCCCGGUGUAGCGGUGAAAUGCGUAGAGAUCGGGAGGAAUACCAGUGGCGAAGGCGGCCUUCUGGACUGACACUGACGCUGAGGUGCGAAAGCGUGGGUAGCAAACAGGAUUAAUACCCCGGUAGUC
rnacentral:rRNA from 1 species